GAUGAACGCUGGCGGCGUGCCUAAUACAUGCAAGUCGAGCGAACAGAUGAGGAGCUUGCUCCUCUGACGUUAGCGGCGGACGGGUGAGUAACACGUGGAUAACCUACCUAUAAGACUGGGAUAACUUCGGGAAACCGGAGCUAAUACCGGAUAAUAUAUUGAACCGCAUGGUUCAAUAGUGAAAGACGGUUUUGCUGUCACUUAUGGAUGGAUCCGCGCCGCAUUAGCUAGUUGGUAAGGUAACGGCUUACCAAGGCAACGAUGCGUAGCCGACCUGAGAGGGUGAUCGGCCACACUGGAACUGAGACACGGUCCAGACUCCUACGGGAGGCAACAGUAGGGAAUCUUCCGCAAUGGGCGAAAGCCUGACGGAGCAACGCCGCGUGAGUGAUGAAGGUCUUCGGAUCGUAAAACUCUGUUAUUAGGGAAGAACAAAUGUGUAAGUAACUAUGCACGUCUUGACGGUACCUAAUCAGAAAGCCACGGCUAACUACGUG
rnacentral:rRNA from 1 species